rnacentral:lncRNA from 14 species
UCCCUGUUUAUCAAGCAGCAGAAAAUAACCAAUGACUUCAAAUACUUCUUUAAUCUCUGCCAUACCUACAGAAGGCUUUUCUUUUUACACUUUUCAGCUGGUUUAUUGCAUAAAUAUUAUGUUAGUAGUCAUUCUUCAGCGUGUAGGUGGGAUCGCCAGUAGGCAGAGACAGUGAUAAAUGAGUCUCCAGGUGUUGCUGCUCUUUUUAGAAAACCCUUUAACAAGCAGUUAUGAAGAUUGAGGUCAUUUUGCAAACUUAUAAGAGUUACAGUAAGUUGUUUCACAGACACUUCUUUUUUAAAGAGUUGCUGUCAAAGUCGGUGAUCCCAGAGCGGGUUGUAUCUUUCUACCUCACGCUGUUUACAAAACCUGGAUAAUUAUUUAUAUGCAUUUAGUUUUAAGGAUCCAUUAAAGAGGUCAGGGCUGGGGAUUAUUGGAGCAAUGUUUUCACUAAUUUAUUUUCUGGCUACAAGAAAGCAAAUCUUGCAGUCUUGAACCCUCCAACAACCAUUUUGCACACCUGAUGACAGAAAGCAGAUGAUAAUCUAUUUUGUUAAGACUGAAGAUCCUACCAACAACCAGGCUGAACAGGUUCAUUCAAGUAUCCAACCUACACGAAAGCAUCCUUACCACCAUCAGCAUCCAUCAAACCUAAUAGUAACUGGCUUGCUGAUUGACAAGGCUCCACUGGGAAAGAGAAGACUAAGCCCGAUCACCUGGCAGGGAGGAGCGGCAGGCUCUGUCAGUCCCAACACAGGCACCACUGCUGAACUGAAGCUCUUCUUGCUGCAGUGGUUCUGCAGACAGAAGAUUGCUGGCAACUUUCCUGCAUAUCAAAUGGAUGCAAACUAUUCUGUGAAGCACACCAAAGGCAAAGGAGGAAAAACAGUAUUUCAAAGCCUGUUCAAAGCACUCUGCCACUGUCCUUAUCAACACCAUCCUUUGGCAUGAGGAAAGGUGCUGAGAGUGGGUAAUUUCAGGCAACCACCACCCAAAAUACCAUUCUGAAUUCCAGAUGCUCCUGUGACAGCACUUGGAAUCAGGCAGCAAAGAGAAGAGGUUUUUUCAAAGGCAGGACUAGCACUGAAGGCCUCAUUUCUCAGGGUGGAAUAAAAGCCAUAUUGAGGGAACA